ACAAAAUACAUUGAUCCCAUCGCCGGCCCAAACAAGAAAUCGAAACCUUAACAUCGAAGGAAGAAAGACAAAAAUCAUAUAAAGAUUGGAAGAAAUAUAUUGUUUAUUAGGUACCCAGAAGGGACUGUUCAGGCAGAGUAGUUCCCCCUCCAAAAAAAAAAAAAUGUGCUUUAACUUGGCAUACAAAAUCAAGAAUGGAAAGAUUGUGUUGAAGAAAUUCAAGAAUGAAGACGAGGAUGAUGAUAAUAAGGCAUUACUAGCAAAGGAGAUUGAGAGAUGGAAGAAGCAGCAACAGAACAUAGCCAAAGGAUCACAGGGUGAUGAUGAUAAGGCAAUCACCAAACUAUGUAUACUUGUUCUGGGUUCUGGACCUGGAAUUGCAUAAAAUGAUGCAAAUACAGUUCUGGGAUAUGGAAUGUUACACUAAAAAAAAAUAUAAAGAAUGAUGAUGGGGACUAUGAAGGUUAUGUUAGGAGGCUCAGAAUUCAGAUCGAAACCCAAACCAACAACAACUGACACUUUGUUUCUGAAAGUAGCCUAAAAGUUGAUGAAGAAGUGGAUUAUGAGGAUGAAUGGAGUUGAAUGAAAUGUGCCCUUUGCCUAGUGUAAGGAACAGCUCUGUGAUAUCCAAGGGAAGUUGUUGUUGUUGCUGGUGAUUUUCUGCUUGUUUCUUCUUCUCUGCAUCUCAACUUCCCUUUACUGCUUCUUGUUGUAACUGAUGAACAAGUAUGCCAUUUUUCUUUCAAUGAAUUCUGAGUGAAAUUCAAGAAA